rnacentral:rRNA from 1 species
GAGUUUGAUCCUGGCUCAGAGUGAACGCUGGCGGCGUGCCUAAUACAUGCAAGUCGAACGAUGAAGCUUCUAGCUUGCUAGAAUGCUGAUUAGUGGCGCACGGGUGAGUAACGCAUAGGUCAUGUGCCUCUUAGUUUGGGAUAGCCAUUGGAAACGAUGAUUAAUACCAGAUACUCCCUACGGGGGAAAGAUUUAUCGCUAAGAGAUCAGCCUAUGUCCUAUCAGCUUGUUGGUAAGGUAAUGGCUUACCAAGGCUAUGACGGGUAUCCGGCCUGAGAGGGUGAACGGACACACUGGAACUGAGACACGGUCCAGACUCCUACGGGAGGCAGCAGUAGGGAAUAUUGCUCAAUGGGGGAAACCCUGAAGCAGCAACGCCGCGUGGAGGAUGAAGGUUUUAGGAUUGUAAACUCCUUUUGUUAGAGAAGAUAAUGACGGUAUCUAACGAAUAAGCACCGGCUAACUCCGUGCCAGCAGCCGCGGUAAUACGGAGGGUGCAAGCGUUACUCGGAAUCACUGGGCGUAAAGAGCGCGUAGGCGGGAUAGUCAGUCAGGUGUGAAAUCCUAUGGCUUAACCAUAGAACUGCAUUUGAAACUACUAUUCUAGAGUGUGGGAGAGGUAGGUGGAAUUCUUGGUGUAGGGGUAAAAUCCGUAGAGAUCAAGAGGAAUACUCAUUGCGAAGGCGACCUGCUGGAACAUUACUGACGCUGAUUGCGCGAAAGCGUGGGGAGCAAACAGGAUUAGAUACCCUGGUAGUCCACGCCCUAAACGAUGGAUGCUAGUUGUUGGAGGGCUUAGUCUCUCCAGUAAUGCAGCUAACGCAUUAAGCAUCCCGCCUGGGGAGUACGGUCGCAAGAUUAAAACUCAAAGGAAUAGACGGGGACCCGCACAAGCGGUGGAGCAUGUGGUUUAAUUCGAAGAUACACGAAGAACCUUACCUAGGCUUGACAUUGAGAGAAUCCGCUAGAAAUAGUGGAGUGUCUGGCUUGCCAGACCUUGAAAACAGGUGCUGCACGGCUGUCGUCAGCUCGUGUCGUGAGAUGUUGGGUUAAGUCCCGCAACGAGCGCAACCCCCUUUCUUAGUUGCUAACAGGUCAUGCUGAGAACUCUAAGGAUACUGCCUCCGUAAGGAGGAGGAAGGUGGGGACGACGUCAAGUCAUCAUGGCCCUUACGCCUAGGGCUACACACGUGCUACAAUGGGGUGCACAAAGAGAAGCAAUACUGCGAAGUGGAGCCAAUCUUCAAAACACCUCUCAGUUCGGAUUGUAGGCUGCAACUCGCCUGCAUGAAGCUGGAAUCGCUAGUAAUCGCAAAUCAGCCAUGUUGCGGUGAAUACGUUCCCGGGUCUUGUACUCACCGCCCGUCACACCAUGGGAGUUGUGUUUGCCUUAAGUCAGGAUGCUAAAUUGGCUACUGCCCACGGCACACACAGCGACUGGGGUGAAGUCGUAACAAGGUAACCGUAGGUGAACCUGCGGUUGGAUCACC